GCAACACUUGCACUGGGUUAAAUGUCAAUCGUAUUGAUCAUUUAACCCUAGAACGAUUCUUAAUCGUUGAUCAACCAUCCGAUCGGAUCAUGAACUCUAAUGUGUGUGACCUCAUUGGUCUGAAUCUAAGCUGAUAGUAUAGAAAUAAAUUUCUAUACCAAUUAAAGUGACCAUCUAGCAAUGGUACCCGACAACUGGAUAGGUUGAAUAUGUAGAAUA
rnacentral:lncRNA from 1 species